UACGUAGGCAGCGAGCGUUGUUCGGAGUUACUGGGCGUAAAGGGUGCGUAGGCGGUUUUCCAAGUUUGGUGUGAAAUCUCCCGGCUCAACUGGGAGGGUGCGCCGAAAACUGGAGGACUGGAGUACCGGAGAGGUAAGCGGAAUUCCUGGUGUAGCGGUGAAAUGCGUAGAGAUCAGGAGGAACACCUGUGGUGUAGACAGCUUACUGGACGGUGACUGACGCUGAAGCACGAAAGCGUGGGUAGCAAACAGG
rnacentral:rRNA from 1 species